AUCCUUUUGUAGUUAGUAAGUCUGAUGAUGGGGCUUUCAAGGCUCUUGUGUGAGAUGUGCCUCCUUGAAACCUUGGUGUGGCAUGGACAAAAGCAAGACAUUUAUCAUGAAU
rfam:Otolemur garnettii contig075858, whole genome shotgun sequence.